GCCGGGCGCGGUGGCGGGCGCCUGUAAUCCCAGCUACUCGGGAGGCUGAGGCAGGAGAAUGGCAUGAACCCGGGAGGCGGAGCUUGCAGUGAGCCCAGAUAGCGCCACUGCAGUCCGGCCUGGGCGAAAGAGCUAGACUCUGUCUCUU
rfam:Gorilla gorilla gorilla genomic chromosome, chr8, whole genome shotgun sequence